rnacentral:rRNA from 1 species
AGACACGGCCCAGACUCCUACGGGAGGCAGCAGUGGGGAAUAUUGGACAAUGGGCGCAAGCCUGAUCCAGCCAUACCGCGUGUGUGAAGAAGGCCUUCGGGUUGUAAAGCACUUUAAGCAGGGAGAAAAAGUUAUAAGUUAAUACCUUAUAACCCUGAUGUUACCUGCAGAAUAAGCACCGGCUAAUUCCGUGCCAGCAGCCGCGGUAAUACGGAAGGUGCAAGCGUUAAUCGGAAUUACUGGGCGUAAAGCGCGCGUAGGUGGUUUGUUAAGUUGGAUGUGAAAGCCCUGGGCUCAACCUAGGAACUGCAUCCAAAACUAACUCACUAGAGUACGAUAGAGGGAGGUAGAAUUCAUAGUGUAGCGGUGGAAUGCGUAGAUAUUAUGAAGAAUACCAGUGGCGAAGGCGGCCUCCUGGAUCUGUACUGACACUGAGGUGCGAAAGCGUGGGUAGCGAACAGGAUUAGAUACCCUGGUAGUCCACGCCGUAAACGAUGACAACUAGCUGUUGGGAGACUAUGUCUUUCAGUGGCGCAGCUAACGCUUUAAGUUGUCCGCCUGGGGAGUACGGCCGCAAGGCUAAAACUCAAAUGAAUUGACGGGGACCCGCACAAGCGGUGGAGCAUGUGGUUUAAUUCGAUGCAACGCGAAAAACCUUACCUACUCUUGACAUACUUGGAGGCUCUUGUAAUGAGAGUGUGCCUUUUGGAACCAAGAUACAGGUGCUGCAUGGCUGUCGUCAGCUCGUGUCGUGAGAUGUUCCGUUAAGUCGGAUAACGAGCGCAACCCUUACCCUUAUUUGCCAGCGAUUCGGUCGGGAACUAUAAGGGGACUGCCGGUGAUAAACCGGAGGAAGGUGAGGACGACGUCAAGUCAUCAUGGCCCUUACGAGUAGGGCUACACACGUGCUACAAUGGGAGAUACAGACGGACGCUAAGCCGCGAGGUGGUGCUAAUCCUAAAAAGUCUUUCGUAGUCCGGAUUGGAGUCUGCAACUCGACUCCAUGAAGUCGGAAUCGCUAGUAAUCGCGAAUCAGCAUGUCGCGGUGAAUACGUUCUCGGGUCUUGUACACACCGCCCGUCAUACCAUGGAAGUGGAUUGCACCAGAAGUAGAUAGUCUAACCUUAGGGAGGGCGUUUACCACGGUGUGCUUCAUGACUGGGGUGAAGUCGUAACAAGGUAGCCGUAGGGGAACCUGUGGCUG